UAGGAUAAAUUUCUUUUCAGAUUCUGUCCA
rnacentral:piRNA from 1 species